GGGCGGCUAGCUCAGCUGGGAGAGCGCCUCGUUCGCAACGAGGAGGCCGGGGGUUCGAAUCCCCUGCCGUCCACCA
rnacentral:tRNA from 1 species